UACCAAGGCGACGACGGGUAGCCGGCCUGAGAGGGUGACCGGCCACACUGGGACUGAGACACGGCCCAGACUCCUACGGGAGGCAGCAGUGGGGAAUAUUGCACAAUGGGCGCAAGCCUGAUGCAGCGACGCCGCGUGAGGGAUGACGGCCUUCGGGUUGUAAACCUCUUUCAGUAGGGAAGAAGCGUAAGUGACGGUACCUGCAGAAGAAGCGCCGGCUAACUACGUGCCAGCAGCCGCGGUAAUACGUAGGGCGCAAGCGUUAUCCGGAAUUAUUGGGCGUAAAGAGCUCGUAGGCGGUUUGUCGCGUCUGCUGUGAAAGACCGGGGCUCAAAUCCGGUUCUGCAGUGGGUACGGGCAGACUAGAGUGAUGUAGGGGAGACUGGAAUUCCUGGUGUAGCGGUGAAAUGCGCAGAUAUCAGGAGGAACAACCGAUGGCGAAGGCAGGUCUUUGGGCAUUAACUGACGCUGAGGAGCGAAAGCAGGGGGAGCGAACAGGAUUAGAUACCCUGGUAGUCCAUGCCGUAAACGUUGGGCACUAGGUG
rnacentral:rRNA from 1 species